ACUCACGGUGCUGCUCACGGUGCCGGAAUCUGAUUCCCUGUAAAAUGUCUGUGCACAGAGGUGGCGACCCUCGUCUGUUCUCUCUGUGACAGGACAAGGGGACCUGAGACCUUUGUCAGGCUCCAUGUGUCAGGCUCCUUUCCUGAUAUUUUAGGAUGAGGAUUCUUUCCAAUGAGGUCAUGGUCUCUGCAUUGGAGGACAGUCAGGGAUCAGCGUGGACACGUGUUACAACAUUCCCUCAUUGCUGGAGACUCAGUACCCGGAUAUUCAUGGAGAGUGGAGCUGUCCUUCCCUUCAUGAGCUCUGCUUCAUGGGACCUGCCAUACCUCCUGGCGCCUGUGAUCGUGGCCAUCUGACCCAAGGACACAGAGACUGACUGUGGCUGACUCAGCUCAGCAGUGACCACUGAACCUGCAAAAGGAGAGGAGAAGUGAGGUGAGUGUGAGGAUGAGGGUCAUUCCCAGAGGACACAGCCCCUGCUGCAUCCCCUGUGCUGAGCUGAAGGUCAGGCCACUCUGCUCCCUGGUGUCUUUGUGGGCUGAUCCCUAGGGCCAGCACCUGUGCAGAUAAUGAGGAGGGGGAGCAGGAGAGGGCUCCAGGCCUGGUGCAGAUAUCUCAGGAUCAGCUUCUAAGCCUUCAGCUGGGAUGGGUGCUCAGGGCCUCUCUUAUCCUCGAGUGGCAUGCAAAUCUACUUCCUACCUCCCUGUGGCCUUGCUAGGGGCUCUGAAGAACAGACAGAGCUCAGCUCAUAGAAGACUCUGAAGUGCAACCUAGUGCCUGGUCUGUACUAGACAUUCUAAGACCCUUUGUGUGGCUUUUGAGACAGUGUUUCCUGUGCACACAACACAGGCUCACACACACACACACACACGCACACACACAAAUACUUCCAUCUGUGCCCUGGACCACGCCUCUGGUUUGGGGCAACCUUCAUCACUCUCUCUAGUGAGGAGAACACACACGACGGAGUUUGCAGACUACAGGAGGGAGCUGUGGGGACAGAGGGUUAGAGGCCCAAUUUCAUGCCCACACAGGGAACUGGGUCAUGUAACCUCAAGCAAUAGCUCUUGUUUAGGUUUAAAGAAUCUACAGGAGACACGUUUGGAAUGAAAGUGUAAAUAACGGAAGCGUAAUGUAUGAAAGGAAGAUGAAUACACUCAUCAAAACUCCAAUCUUUUGUUUUAUAAAACCUCCUCCACAGCAUUAAAUAAACAAGUAACAAGCAAGAGAAAAGAUUAGCAAAGACAUCUCCGAUGACCAGCGAGUGCAGAGAGGAUACUAGGAAAUGUGAUCACACACAGUGAAGACACAACCACUGAGGAAAGAGACUGAGCGGGACCAACACAUGUGUGAGGAGGAUGUAGGACGGCAGGAACAGGGGCAGGAGCUUGUCAUGCGUCUUCUGGAAAUGCGAAAGUGACCUGAGGAGAGGGUGUCCCCAUGUGCCAUCUGAUCGGCAAAGUAGAAAAUAGGGGCCCCAAAUGCUAGCGAGAUGAGAAGUGGGACUUUCACGCCUGAGGGAUGGUAUGAAAUUUACCAAACUCUGGAAAGAGUUUGCAGGUCACUGAAGAAGGAAAACCUGCAUUUCCCACACCUCUGGUCCUGGGUCACAUCUCUAGGGCCCCAUGGGUGACUUUCCCCACUUUAGCUGGCACAGAAGGAAGGGGUGCACUUAUUCCAGAAGGGAAGAGGCCUAGAGAAAGUGACUGAAGUUCUCAAGUUCACCUUUGGAUAAUUGGGAAGAGCAGGACCUGGGAGGGCCAAGGUCAGAAAUGACACUAUUCUGGGUGAACCAGAAAGAGCCUGGGCUGAGGGAGGGGAAAUCCUGGCAAAGGGCCAAGUUUGGGGCCCACAAAUGGAGACAGCUUCUCCCUGACAGUUGCUCCCACUGCCUGAGGGAACACUGCUGGGUGGUAUCUGGGGAAGCUCAGGCAGGUGGGUGCAGCUCCCACCUCUCUUUGGGGCUGGUCAGUAACUCCAGGAUAAAACAGUCCAGACUGAUGGAGCUAGAGUGGUCUUUUCCUGAUCUUUGUCCUGGAAUUUCCCUGAUGAUUGCUCAGGUCCUGGGGAUGCAGUGCAGACAAGCUCUUCAAUCUCCUGCUCAGGCUUUAGUAGUUGAUAAGAGAUGAAGAUGUAAUAAUCUAUCAUCAGUGUGGAUGCCACUUGGAGUCAUGGAAGAUUCCACCACCCCUCCGUGACCUCAGUCCCUACAGAUCACACAGCAGUUCUGAAACUUGUCGGCACAGUGCUUGGAGGAAAAUCUGGUUUUUCUUUAUAAAAUGUGCAUAGUUGACUUUCGUACAUUAUCUGGGGGACCAAAUAUGACAACUUGCCUGCAUGAACAGACACAGGAGAUGGAGCCCCACUCAGGGCUCUGAAGAGGCAUUUCCUGGGGCAUUGGGAAUGUUCCCACUUGACUCUCACACAGGAUCACAGCCAGGAGGGAGUCUUCACACUUUUGUACACCAUCAUCUGCACACAAUGUGUUAUUAUGGAAUAAAAUAAGGACUAUAAUUUAUCUCUCUGGUGAGAAACUUGUUUUUGAGUUACAUGCUCAUGACUUAAAAAGAGUGUGCUUAUUGUGUUUAUAUUGCAUUAUGGAGGUGUAGUUCCAACACACUGGACUGUAGCAAGUGCACAUGUAAAUUCAAUGUAUUGUGGUAUCUACAGAUAUGUGCUAAUUAACAAUGUUUCCACCUACUAACAAUAUUUCAUUACUAAAAGGCACCCCAUCCCUCAUUGCUUGCUCUUGCCUCCAUGCACCGCAGUUCUAAAAAAAAUGCUGUAUUUUUCCGUAUCUAUACAAUUCUCUAUUCAGGAUCCUGAAAUGAGUAUACAUGUGGUCUUGUGAGUGACUCCUUCACUGUACAAUGUG